CUCUACUCUGUCUGGUUUUUACUUUGCCAUAUUUGUCAUGUUUAUUUGUCGUUUGUUAUUUGCUUGUUUUUAGUGUGAGUAUAUGCUUGAAACAUUGAGGACAAUGUUUGAUUUAAGUGUGGGGGGGUAACCAUUCUUUUGCAUGAAAUUCGUAUAAAUUUAUCACCCAUUACUUCUAGUGUUGUUCCUUGUUGUUUUAAGUAUUUUUUUUAAGCUGUUUUGGAGUGUUUCAGUGUGUUUGACAUAAAAAUCCGAAAAUUCAUAAAAAUUUGAAAAAUUGUUUUUGAAAAUCCCAAAAAGAGUUGUUUUUGUGUGCUUAUUUGUGUCUUAGGGUACCUUCCAACAUAAUGAUGAGGAUUCGGUUUGUAAUUGCAUGACUGUUAAAGAGAGUUAUAAACAUGGAUGAA
rnacentral:lncRNA from 1 species